ACGACCACUGCUGCGCCUGGCUCCUCGACCACUCCCGCUACGCCCACCACGAAAAGGCCACCCGUACUACAGCAACUCGCCCAGAGUGUUAUCGAUAUACCCUUGGGGGUAGCGAAAGCGUGUAGAGACGGAGCUGAAGCUUUUGAAUCAUUCUUGGACAUCUUUGGAUAAACAAGAUUCUAC